GGGGUGUUAGCUCAGCUGGGAGAGCGCUACGCUGGCAGUGUAGAGGUCAGGGGUUCGAACCCCCUACGCUCCA
rnacentral:tRNA from 2 species